rnacentral:rRNA from 1 species
UACAGAGGUCUCAAGCGUUGUUCGGAUUCAUUGGGCGUAAAGGGUGCGUAGGCGGCGCGGUAAGUCGGGUGUGAAAUUUCGAGGCUUAACUUCGAAACUGCAUUCGAUACUGCCGUGCUUGAGGACUGGAGAGGAGACUGGAAUUUACGGUGUAGCGGUGAAAUGCGUAGAUAUUGUAAGGAAGACCAGUGGCGAAGGCGGGUCUCUGGACAGUUCCUGACGCUGGAUGCGCGAAAGCGUGGGGAGCGAACAGG